rnacentral:rRNA from 1 species
GACAGAGGUGCCAAGCGUUAGGCGGAAUCACUGGGCUUAAAGCGUGUGUAGGCGGAUGCCUAAGUACCUUGUGAAAUCCCACGGCUCAACCGUGGAACUGCUUGGUAUACUGGGUGUCUUGAGCCAUCUAGGGGCUACCGGAACAAAUGGUGGAGCGGUGAAAUGCGCAGAUAUCAGGAGGAACACCGAUGGCGAAGGCAGGUCUCUGGCCACUACUGACGCUGAGAAGCGAAAGCAUGGGGAGCGAACAGG